CAGCGGCCUCCAUGAGAAAGGGAGUCGUAAGCUGUGCAGAGGACAAGGCAAUGUGCUGUCCUGACACACGGGUCUUGCAGUGCUGUUCCUGUAACCGAUGCAGCCUUCGUGGAUGUGCAAGCAGUGACUCAUGGAGCGUGCCUGCAUCCUGCCUCGCAGAGCUUUCUGAUGGCAACAUCCGUUGAAGAGGACCAGCCUUUGCGGAAGGCAAGAGUGACACUUGUCCAGCUCUUCACAUAUCUGACCAGAUGAAAUACAAGACAUCAUUGAUGCUGCACCCAUAUUUGCCCCACAAGAUGGCAAUUGCAUUUGCUCAAGCAAAUGAAAGAAUAAUAGAGUUCAGCUGUGUGUGGGGGUGCAUGCCUUUAAUCCAGCCAGGGCUA